rnacentral:rRNA from 1 species
UACGUAGGGGGCUAGCGUUAUCCGGAUUCAUUGGGUUUAAAGGGUGCGUAGGCGGGCCUAUAAGUCAGUGGUGAAAGCCCUUCGCUUAACGAAGGAAUUGCCAUUGAUACUGUAGGUCUUGAGUAUAGUUGAGGUGGGCGGAAUGUGUCAUGUAGCGGUGAAAUGCUUAGAUAUGACACAGAACACCGAUUGCGAAGGCAGCUCGCUAAAACUAUAACUGACGCUGAGGCACGAAAGCGUGGGUAGCAAACAGG